UACAGAGGGUGCGAGCGUUAAUCGGAAUUACUGGGCGUAAAGGGCGCGUAGGCGGUUGGACAAGUGAGAUGUGAAAUCCCCGGGCUUAACCUGGGAACUGCAUCUUAAACUGUCCGGCUGGAGUACUGUAGAGGAUAGUGGAAUUUCCGGUGUAGCGGUGAAAUGCGUAGAGAUCGGAAGGAACAUCAGUGGCGAAGGCGACUGUCUGGACAGAUACUGACGCUGAGGCGCGAAAGCGUGGGGAGCAAACAGG
rnacentral:rRNA from 1 species